rnacentral:lncRNA from 1 species
CGAACUAGGGUUAAAAAGAGAAAAAAUAUCAUGCUCAGGGUUCAUAUUAAUCCUUAUUUUUAUUUUGUUUUAAUUAGUUGCUACUAGAAUCUUACUAAAGGAUAAGAUUUGAAGUUAUUGGUGGUGCAAGGAAAUAAUAAAUUAGUUUUUGCGAGGAAUAUUUGCAUUAUGCUUGAGUCAUGUUGAUGACGUUUGCACUGCUUAGUAAGCAGAAUUGUUUGUUUGUGCAUAGCAAAGCAAAAGAGUUUUGGGAAAUCAAACCAACAAUGCCUUUUACCGAUUAGCAUUUGGUUUAGUGUAUUCAUGCCCAUUUAGUAAGAUUUUAUUUGUGAACAUAUUCAUAUAUAUAUAUAUUUUUUAAUUUUUUUUUGUAAAGAGUUCGAUAUUUAGUUAAUAAUAAUAUAAUCUUGUUGUAGAUGUAUUGGUCCGUUGCCAAUAAUUGUAGAUAUAUUAACAUGUUGUAGAUAGAGUAUCUUGUUAUUAUUCUAUUAUAUAUUUAUCCCACUUUUUUUUUCCCCUUUUUCUCUUGUUUUCUCCCUUGGGGCGUGCAAGUGUCACGCUGCAUUUCCGCGCGUGCAAGUGGAAAUACUCCUCUAGCUACAUUUCCACUAUAUUUAAAUUAAAAUGCUACAUUUU